rnacentral:rRNA from 1 species
CCUACGGGAGGCAGCAGUGGGGAAUAUUGCACAAUGGGGGAGACCCUGAUGCAGCGACGCCGCGUGAAUGAAGAAGUAUUUAGGUGUGUAAAGCUCUAUCAGCAAGGAAGAAGAGAGACGGUACCUGACUAAGAAGCCCCGGCUAACUACGUGCCAGCAGCCGCGGUAAUACGGAGGAGCCAAGCGUUAUCCGGAUUUACUGGGUGUAAAGGGAGCGUAGAAGGCUGUGCAAGUCUGAAGUGAAAGCCCAGGGCUCAACCCUGGGACUGCGUUGGAAACUGUGGAGCUUGAGUGCUGGAGAGGUAAGUGGAAUUCGUAGUGUAGCGGUGAAAUGCGUAGAUAUUAGGAGGAACACCAGUGGCGAAGGCGGCUUACUGGACAGCAACUGACGUUGAGGCUCGAAAGUGUGGGGAGCAAACAGGAUUAGAUACCCCAGUAGUC